UAUGAAAUAUAUUCAUGUUUUCUGACUAUAUAGGUCUUCCAAUGUAUUGUUUAUGACAAUAACAUUUUUUUUGUUUUGUUUUUUUGAGACAGGGUCUCACUAUGUAGUUGAGAAUGACCUGGAACUCACUGUGUAGCCCAGGCUGGUCUCGAACUCACAGCAAUCCUCCUGCCUCAGCCUCCCGAGUGCUGGGAUUAUAGGCGUGCGCCACCACGCCUGGCGACAAUAGCAUUUUGAUCCAGGCAGAGACCAACACUAAAAGGUAAUGGCCUAAGAAGACCACCAAUAUUUUGGCCCUGGCCCUCCAGGGUCAUCAAAGAUCCAAGGUACGAAGGAACCUUUUCUACAAAGCCUUACAUCUUUGGUAAGUCACCCAACCUUCUGAGCAGGGAGAUUGCUGAACACCAGAGGACAAAUGUAACGUGUGCCAAAAGAGGAUCACCAAAAGAAAAAACCUCCC
rnacentral:lncRNA from 1 species